rnacentral:rRNA from 1 species
ACGGAGGGUGCAAGCGUUAAUCGGAAUUACUGGGCGUAAAGCGUACGUAGGCGGUUUGCUAAGUCAGAUGUGAAAGCCCCGGGCUUAACCUGGGAACUGCAUUUGAUACUGGUAGGCUAGAGUAUGGUAGAGGGGGGUAGAAUUCAUAGUGUAGCGGUGAAAUGCGUAGAUAUUAUGAGGAAUACCAGUGGCGAAGGCGGCCCCCUGGACCAAUACUGACGCUGAGGUACGAAAGCGUGGGUAGCGAACAGG